GUUCCAAUCUCAGCCUAGUGGACAUGGCAUCUGCCCGGUAAGCGGAACACUGUGGGUUCGAUUCCCAUCCCUGGACACU